AAGGCAGUAAAUCAAUUUGACGGAAGUAACAAUGAUCACAUCACGAAGCUUUCAUCUGGAAGAGAAAGAGACACAAGAAGGUGAAGGUUAGGAGAGCCAUGUCUGCAUCAGUGAGGAGGAGAGAGCAGGAUUCUGAUCACGCAGAGAUAGUAUCCUGUUUCUGAUUUGCCUAUCCAAGAGCCGGAAAAUUGAGUCAGGCGACGUGAAGAUCCGGCGAUGUAUCCUAGCGUUCCUCUCAGUCCAGGUCCGGUACAAACAGCCCUGCCAACAGAUUCGCAGUAGUGUAGAGGUUGCUGAUUUCUGGUUAAGCGCUUGCAGUUGUUCCAAUACUCUUCCCCAUAAUCUUUCAAGAAUGAAGCCACAUCGCAUCGAGCACGUUUCCCAUAAGUGCCAUGCGAACCCACAAUCAAAGAAGAGGUGAUCCCGACUUUCAGCCGCCAAGUUGCAGAGUACACAUGAUGGAUCAGUUUGAAGACCCCAACCUAAGAUGCCAUCUCUCGUCGGGCAGCGAUUCAAGACAAAUAACCAAGCAAGAAAGCUAUGUCGGGGAAUCCCACUCCUGUUCCACACAGAGCGGUACCAAGGUACAGAAAUUCCAGCCUCACAGAGCUUCCCAUAGACUAGACAUGCGCUAUAUCGCUGAGAAAUGCAGCCAUCGACCUCCCACUCAUAGUGGAAUAAUCCAGUUGCCAUGGAUGAAUAGCGACGCCACAGUAGCGUCCGCCGAUAUUCCAAGAGAGGACACAUCAGAUGACGCAAAAUAGGAUCUCAGAGCUCCAAACGGAGUCCAAUUGUCAGUCCAGAACCUGGCGGAGUAACGCCUACUCGGAGCUUUUAUCCAUAAAUUGCUCAGGCUCCCAUCCAGAAUCUCCUCUAUAAACCAAGCGACCCACACCGAUCCUGUUUGGAAGAACAACAGCCAGAUGAGUUUUAAGCAGCAAGCGUUAUUCCAGAUUGCAAGGUUCUUAAUCCCUAAUCCUCCUUCCUUCUUUGGUCGUGUCACAACCUCCCAUGAAACCCUUGCCGAGUGAUGUUCUUCUAUGUCUCUUUUCCAAAGAAAAACGCCACAAAGGGAGUUGAUACGCUUGAUGCAAGCUUUGGGCAAAAUGAAGGCCGAGCACCAGAAAGUGGAGGACUUCACAGUUCAAGAAGCUUAGUUUUUUUGUACAGAGGGGAACGCCGAGUUAACGCACUGGAAGGGAUCCCAUGGGCAUUCCUGUAGAGACUUGUAUCAGAUCAGUCUCAGAAGAAGUUAAUCCUAAGGUAAAGAAGGAAGAUUUCUGAAGGCUAACAGCAAGCCCCGAUCUCUGUUCAAACUCUCGGAGAACCUGUAGAACGGCUUGUACGGAGCUCAGCGAUCCGUCAAUGAAGAUAAGGAGAUCAUCCGCAAAACAAAGGUGAGUAAGUUUAGAAGACUGGCAAUUGAGAUGAUACUUGAACUUCAUUUCUUGAGCUGCACGAUUAAGCAUUAGAGACAGAAAAUUCAUAGCAAUUACGAAUAGGUAAUGUGAUAGAGGAUCACCCUGCCUUAGACCUCUUGUACCUUUAAUAACUUGUACAAAACGACUGUUUUAUAAUAUAAGAUAUCUUAGACA